UACGGGGGGGGCAAGCGUUGUUCGGAAUUACUGGGCGUAAAGGGCGCGUAGGCGGCCUUCUAAGUCGGACGUGAAAUCCCUCGGCUUAACCGAGGAACUGCGUCCGAUACUGAAAGGCUUGAAUCCGGGAGAGGGAUAUGGAAUUCCAGGUGUAGCGGUGAAAUGCGUAGAUAUCGAGAGGAACACCAGUGGCGAAGGCGAGUCCCUGGACAACACCUGACACUGAGGCACGAAAGCUAGGGGAGCAAACAGG
rnacentral:rRNA from 1 species